UGCCAGCCGCCGCGGUAAUACGGAGGGACCUAGCGUAGUUCGGAAUUACUGGGCUUAAAGAGCUCGUAGGUGGUUAAGAAAGUUAGUGGUGAAAUCCCAAGGCUCAACCUUGGAACUGCCACCAAAACUUUUUAACUAGAGUAUGAUAGAGGUAAGUGGAGUUUCUGGUGUAGAGGUGAAAUUCGUAGAUAUUAGAAAGAACACCGAUUGCGAAGGCAGCUUUCUGGAUCAUUACUGACACUGAGGAGCGAAAGCAUGGGUAGCGAAGAGGAUUAGAUA
rnacentral:rRNA from 1 species